GCCACUAGUCAAUAGCCUAUAUACAACACAAAACAAUGCAACUGCACUACUUUUGUUACACUUCAAUCUAACCAAAUAGAAUUCCCCUUUGACCCAUAUG